GGGGGCGUAAUGGUUUCGACAGGGAGCUUGAGGCAGGAUAAGCGGGCAGAGGUGCGGUACCUCUUUAAAAGCCGUAAACCUUAAAUAUAAACGCUAACAAUAACAGAGUAGCACUCGCUGCCUAAGGGCGCGACGUCUCUCCGCGGAGGACCACGAACGCGGACAGGCGUGACCGUAGUGGUAAAUGUGCGCCGCCCGUUGCUUUUGAAGCGGCCAUAAAUAAAAAAGCUGCCCGACCCGCAGCCCGUAUACCGGCGGCGGCAAGGGGAGAUCUCAAGUAGGUAUUCUCCGCCCGGAGAAAGUCCUGUCAAGAACUUUUUGGACAGGGGUUCGAUUCCCCUCGCCUCCACCA
rnacentral:tmRNA from 1 species